GGCUGGGUAGCUCAGCUGGUGAGAGCGCUGGUCUCAUAAGCCGGAGGUCGACGGUUCAAGUCCGUCCCCAGCUA
rnacentral:tRNA from 1 species